rnacentral:rRNA from 1 species
GACGUAGGGGGCGAGCGUUGUUCGGAAUUACUGGGCGUAAAGCGUGCGUAGGCGGACUUAUAAGUCAAGGUUGAAAUAUCCGGGCUCAACUCGGGGCACGGCCUUGAUACUGCAAGUCUUGAGUCAAGUAGAGGGUAAUGGAAUUCCCGGUGUAGCGGUGAAAUGCGUAGAGCUCGGGAAGAACAUCGGUGGCGAAAGCGCUCUACUGGACUGCAACUGACGCUGAGGAGCGAAAGCUAGGGGAGCAAACGGG